CAAACUCAGAUGUUGAACGUGAAGGAUAACGUUGCGUCAGCAACGGCCCGUAGGGCGAGGCGAAGCCGAGUCAUCCUGCACGACCCACCA
rnacentral:sRNA from 17 species